rnacentral:lncRNA from 1 species
UGUUACACAAAAACAGUGAAUGGUUGAAUCAAGUGAGUUGUGUUCAGACUGUGGUAAAACUACAGUAAGUUUAACUCCCAUCUUGAUGUUUUCUACGGAGACAUUGAAUGACAAACACAUCUGUGUUGUGGACCAAAAAAAAGCAAGCCACUCCUAAACAGAACCUCUGAUCACCACUAUUGCUGUGGUAAAAAACAGUAUCACAGCACAACUCAAAGCUGCUGUAACGUAAAAGGAAGUCUUGGUGAGUUACAAGAACCAAACACAUUGUGUUUAUUAUUGUCCAUAAUUGUUUUUGCUGCUUCGCACCAGAUUCCAGAGAGAUUGUGACCUCUGAACUCAUUUAACCAGACAUUAUGUACAAACGUGUCACAGUGUCGUGAGUUUAAAUAGUAACAUUAACAUUAGUUACAGUAGCAAUAUGUUCAGAUUGAGGUAGAAGUGAGUUUAACUCCCAUCCUGAUCUUUUCCACAGUGAUAUUAAAUGACAACGGACAUCUGUGUUGUGGACCAAAAGAUAACAAGACAGUCCUCAACAGAGCCUCUGAUCACCACUAUUGCUGUGGUAAAGAACAGUAUGACAACAGAAAUCAAAGAUGCUGUCACGUUAAAGGAAGUCUUGGUGAGUUACAAGCAUAUUGUAUUUAUUGUUGUCCAUAAUUAAUUAAUGCCACAAUUAAACACUGAUGUCUAUACCAAAACCUGAUCUUAAUUUACUGACAUGAGCAUUUAAACUCAAAAAUUCAAACAGUGAAGUUCAGCUUUUGGGUUUAGAGGAGAUUUAACUGUGUUUAAUGAAGUCUUAGAACCAGAUUCUAGAGACAGAGUGCGACCUUUGAACUCAAGUAAACAGACCUUAUGUACAAACGUGUCACAAUUUCGUCAGCUUAAAUAGUAACAUUAACAUUAGGUAGCAACAUGUUCAGACUGAGGUAGAAGUGAGUUUAACUCCCAUCCUGAUCUUUUCUACAGAAAUACUGAAUAACAGCAAACAGCUGUGUUGUGGACCAGAUUAUGACAAGACCGUCCUGACCAGAACCUCUGAUCACCACUAUUGCUGUGGUAAAGAACAGUAUGACAACAGAAAUCAAAGUUGCUGUCACGUUGAAGGAAGUCUUGAAAUAUUGAAUCACAGUGAAAAGCUGUGUUCUGGACCACAUUAUGUCAAGAGAGUCGUGAACAGAACCCCUAAACAACGCUAUUUCUGUGGUAAAGAACAGUAUGACAACAGAAAUCAAAGUUGCUGUCACGUUAAAGGAAAUCAUGAAAUAUUGAAUGACAGCAAACAGCUGUGUUGUGGUCCAAAAGAUAACAAGACAGUCCUGGACAGAACCUCUGAUCAUCACUAUUGCUGUGGUAAAGAACAGUAUGACCACAGAAAUCAAAGUUGCUGUCACACUGAAGGAAAUCUUGUGACACUGAAUAACAGCGAACAGCUGUGUUGUGGACCAGAUUAUGACAAGACCGUCCUGGACAGAACCUCCAUCUACCACUAUUGCUGUGGUAAAGAACAGUAUGACCACACAACUCACAGCUGCUGUAACGUUGAAGGAAGUCUUGAAAUAUUGAAUGACAGUGAACAGCUGUGUUGUGGACCAGAACAUAACAAGACAGUCCUCAACAGAGCCUCUGAUCACCACUAUUGCUGUGGUAAAGAACAGUAUGACAACAAAACUGAGUGCUGCUGUCACAAGGAAAACCGAAGUCUUCGGAUACAAAAAAAGGACGACAACUGCUGUAAAAAUGAAACAACUGCUGAGCGACCUAAACGUUCAGCGGAGGAACUGUGUGGUAAUGAGACCUAUGACAACAGAACUCACUGCUGCUGUGACACGAGAGAUGAUCUUCAGAUACAACAUAAUGACUCCUACUGCUGUAAAAGUUUGAAACAGCAGACUCACGCACAGUCAUCUGUCGACAGUGAGCCACACAAACGCCUCACUAGGUCUAUAAGGCAGAACAAACGCUGUGGCUGUGGGAGAAAGUGCUGGUGCUGCUGCUCAGGUCGAUGCCCUGCUGUUCCCAUCAAGUGCAAACCACACGUAUGUGUGUGCUGGGAUGGCUGCGUAUCUAAGAGAAAGUCUCAGAUGAUUCAAUGUCAUGACUCGCCUGGACAUCGCUGCUGCUGGAGGAAAACCUUCAGGCCUUGCACUGACAUCUGCUGCGGUGGCCGCAGGACCACAAGUUCUACUUCCCCAAGACAAGAUUCAGAUGCUGCCGUCGAAGGUAUUACAACCCGGCCGUGUGUUCAUGCUGUGCUUCUUCAACAACGAAACCUUUGUUGAAGAAGGUUGAAAGAUGUCUUUGUUGAUCCCAACCAUCGCUCUGUUCUCCGGUCCCUUCAUUUCAUUUUCUCCAGCUGUUCCUAUCAGUAAACCAAAUUCCUUCCAGGGAACACGUGUCUGUCAUUAUACUCAACACGUUAACCACAUUUGUUGACAGUACUUCUCUGAUUGGACUCGGCGGCAACUUUUGACAACUCCAAAGCCUCCACGCAGACGACUGCGUGUGACAUGUGAACCCACAAGCUGUCAUAUAUACAUUAUUAUUGUCUAGCGUGGCCAUUUAUGAGGAGCUCCUUCACUGUGUGGAGCACGGUGACUCACACAUUUACUCACUGUGAAGGACACUACUAGUACUAGUACAGUGCCAAACCAAAGCUACAGGGCUCAAAGCUUAGAUUAUCUAAACUACUGUGGAGCAGCUGGAUCCACUCUUAGUUGCCAUGGUAGCAGGUAAUAGACAGGAAUGUUACUUAACUGCUUUCUGUCCACAUAAGCUAAACUACUACAAGAAAGUUUUCUAUGAAUAUUACAUUCGUCCUUUUUUAAUGUGAUUGUUGCACUGAACUUUAUGAAAAAUGGCAAAUAUUUGCACAUCACUUAAAUUAUUAUGUGUUUACGUUUAAGUGAGAUGAGUCACGAGUGACAAAGCUACUAAUUGAUAAGCACCGUCAAACUAUCAGGGAUAUAAAUGCCAAACUCCUGCCCCAAAGGUUCCACUGGAGGCUCUUGUGUAUGUGAAACAGUUACUAUAUUGACUGUACGGUUGAAUGUAACAUACAGUGGACUCCAGUUGUAUUCAUGCUAAGGUGCUUUUGUACUGUAAUCAGUGAUUAAACUCAUCUGGUGCACAGCACAUUGCUUUUUCAUACAACUGUGUGUUUACUGUAUAUGUGAAUGAUUUCAUCAUAGUUACUGUCUAUAUUCAUAAAACUAUAAACUAUAUCUUAUACUGCAUGUGUAUUUUUAAACGACCCUACUCUGGGUGACGUUUGACUAUUUGUCUUCAAUAAACAACUAUUAUUAUUAAGCCUGUUGUGUUUU